UGCAGUCGGACGGUAGCACAGAGGGACUUGUGUUCCUUGGGUGACGAGUGGCACACGGGAGAGUAGUGUGGGGAGAUCUGCCCGAUAGAGGGAGAUAACCUGUGGAAACGGUGGCUAAUACCGCAUAACCUCACAAGACCAAAGAGGGAGACCUUCGGGCCUCUCUCUAUCAGAUGAACCCAUAUGGGAUUAUCUAAUGCGCGGGGUAGUGGCCCCCCUACGACAAUAUCCCUAUCUGGUCUGAGAAGAAGACCACCCACUCUGGAUCUGACACACGGCCCACACUCCUACGGGAGGCAGCAGUGGGGAAUAUUGCACAGUGGGCGCACCCCUGAUGCACCCGUGCCGCGUGUAUGAAAAGGGUCUUCGGGUUGUAAAGUAUUUUCCGCGGAGAAGAGGGAGACGGGGUUAAUAACCGUGUCUAGUGACUUUCCCCGCAAAAAAAACCCCGGCUAUCUCCGUGCCCACCCCCGCGGUUAUACAGAGGGUGCACGCGUUUCUCAAAUUUACUGGGCGUAAAGCGCACGCGCGCGGUCUGUUAACUCAUAUGUGAUC
rnacentral:rRNA from 1 species